rnacentral:misc_RNA from 1 species
CAAUGCUCCAUUUUCCCUCUGUGUAGUUUGUCCAGCCUUCGCCGCUGUGGCCUCAGGCCUCUGGAGCCUUGACUGUGAGUGCUUCUAGUUCCCUACAAUAAAGAGCACUUAAAUUUUAUAGCUCAAAGCAGAUCCACCGAAGACCGGAGCUACCGUCUAACAUCCGCCCUGACAAAAAAAAACCCUAAACCAUUCCUCCACUCUACUCUCUUUUUUUUUUCUUCGACGAUCAAUCGAUCAUGGAGUCUCCUUCUCUCCUCCCGCUUCCUGGGGAUUCCAAUGAACUACGAAAUACAAUAUGCAAUGCCCAUGUUGGUAUUUCCUGUGGAUUAGAUUGCGAAAUAGGGUCCUCUAGUUUACAAACCCAAUACAAGAAAAGAAGAAUAUCUCCAAACAAUGAUAAAUCAUAUGAACUUUUAAAAAAGGUUGAAUCUUCAUUACCCAUAUUGCACUCAACAGAUUAUUAUAUGGAACCUGCCUUGACUGAUUUGGCUGCCCAAGAGCUCGUGGAUCCUGGUUAUUGCAGCCGAGUUCCAGAUUUCACUGUUGGGAGAUUAGGUUAUGGACGUGUCAAGUUUCUUGGCAUGACUGAUAUUAGGGGGUUGGAUUUGGAUCAGAUUGUGAAGUUUCAUAGGCAUGAAAUAGUAGUUUAUAAAGAUGAAACUGCUAAGCCUCCAGUUGGACAAGGCCUUAACAAGCCUUCUGAAGUGACUUUGACUCUACAGAUAAGAAUAUCAGAUUUCCAUGAAGGGCGGGUCAAAAAUUUUGUGGAGAAAUUGAGGGGGAGUACAGAGAGACAGGGGGCUUAUUUCAUUUCAUUUGACCCAGCAAUUAGUGAAUGGAAGUUCUCAGUUCGCCAUUUCAGCAGAUUUGGAUUGAGUGAUGAUGAUGAGGAAGAUAUUAUAAUGGAUGAUGUUGUAGCAGUUGAAGAACGAGUUGAGAUGAAUGCUGGUGAGACUUCAGAGACAAAUGAAGAAACCCAAUUGGAAUUAGAACCCACUGGAACAAUGCUUUAUCAUUCUCUUCCAGCACAUCUUGGCCUUGAUCCAGUAAAGAUGAAAGAGAUGAGGAUGCUGAUGUUUCCAGCAGAGGAAGAUGAGGAGGCUGGGAGUUACAAUGGCCCUUCACUUCAUAAGCUGUCCUCUAGUAAGGAACAUGCAAGACAUCCUUUAUUGAAUUCUGCUCAGAAAAUGAGCCAUAGAUCUAGCAUUCCUGUUGCAAGGAAAACACCAUUGGGUCUGCUUGAGUACAAUCCUGGUAGUUUUGAUUCUAGUUCCCCUGGAACCAUUUUGAUGACCCAACAAAAUAAGGGCCUGCCUUUAAAGGCAAUGAGGGGAGAAGGAUUUAGGCUGGACCUGAAGCAUGAGACACCAAUAACUGGAAGCCAUUCUCGCAACAUAGUUGAUGCUGGUUUGUUCAUGGGUAGGUCAUUUCGUGUAGGUUGGGGUCCAAAUGGUGUCCUUGUUCACCCUGGUGCCCCUGUUGGAUUUAAUGGUUCUCAAAGGUUGUUAGCUUCUGUAAUUAAUGUAGAGAAGGUUGCAAUAGACAGAGUAGUCAGAGAUGAAAAUAAUAACACCAAAAAGGAUCUAGUUGAGUUUGCUUUUGACUCCCCUUUGAAUCUCCACAAAACAAUAAAUCAUGAAACAAAAGAAGUUGAAGUUGGUUCCUUUAAACUAAAGCUCCAAAAAGUUCUUUCUAAUCGCUUAAUACUUUCAGAGAUUUGUCGGAGUUACAUAGACAUCAUUGAAAAGCAGCUGGAGGUUCCAGGGCUUCCGUCAUCUGCACGUUUGGUUUUGAUGCAUCAAGUGAUGAUCUGGGAAUUGAUUAAAGUUCUUUUUUCUGAAAGGGAAAAUAGUGGACAGUCAAAAUCUGUGGGUGAUGAUAAUGAGGAAGACAUGGUGCAGGAUAUGAGGGAAGUUUCUUUGGAAAUUGACCAGGAAUCACUUCCUCUUAUCCGAAGAGCAGAGUUCAGUUGUUGGUUGCAAGAAAGUGUCUGUCAUCGUGUCCAAGAGGAAGUGAGCUCUCUGAAUGAUUCCAAUUACCUUGAACACAUUUUCUCACUCUUGACUGGGCGACAACUGGAUGGAGCUGUGGAAAUGGCUGUUUCUAAAGGAGAUGUUAGACUAGCUUGUUUGUUGAGUCAAGCUGGUGGGUCUACAGUAAACCGUGCUGAUGUUGCACGGCAGCUUGAUCUUUGGAGGAUCAAUGGGCUAGAUUUCAAAUUCAUUGAAAAGGAAAGAAUAAGGCUGUAUGAGUUGCUUUCUGGUAAUGUUCAUGAUGCAUUAAAUGAUGUUAAAAUUGACUGGAAGAGGUUCUUAGGAUUAUUGAUGUGGUAUCGGCUAGCACCUCACACAUCUUUGCCCAUUAUUUUUCAGACAUACCAGCACCUUCUUGAUGACGAUAGGGCUCCAUAUCCUCUUCCCAUUUACAUUGAUGAAGGACCAGUAGAAGUGGCUGUAAAUUUCACAGGGAGACACUUCGAUCUCGCAUAUUAUCUUAUGCUUCUUCAUGCAAAUGGAGAGGGUGAAUUUGGUUUUCUGAAGACCAUGUUUAGUGCCUUCUCUUCGACAAAUGACCCACUUGACUACCAUAUGAUCUGGCAUCAGCGAGCAGUGUUGGAAGCUAUUGGUGUUUUAUCCUCUAAUGAUCUUCAAGUUCUUGACAUGGGAUUUGUUUCACAGCUGUUGUGUAUUGGGCAAUGUCAUUGGGCUGUCUAUGUGGUCCUUCACAUGCCAUACCGUGAUGAUUAUCCAUAUCUCCAAGCUACCCUUAUUCGGGAAAUUUUGUUUCAGUACUGCGAAACUUGGAGUUCAGAUGAGUCACAACACCAAUUUAUUGAGAACCUUGACAUUCCUCGGUCAUGGUUGCAUGAAGCUAUGGCAGUUUACUUCAGUUACAAUGGGGAUCUCUUCAAGGCCCUGGAACACUAUCUUGAAUGUGAAAAUUGGCAAAAGGCUCAUUAUAUUUUUAUAACUUCAGUUUCCCAUAAAUUGUUUUUAUCAGCUAACCACUCAGAGAUAUGGAGGCUUGCAACUUCAAUGGAGGACCACAAAUCUGAAAUUGAAAACUGGGACUUGGGAGCUGGAAUUUAUAUAUCAUUCUAUCUCAUAAGAAGUUCAUUGCAAGAAAACAAUAAUACAAUGAGUGAACUGGUGAGAAAGUGUAUUCUGAAUAUUAAUGCUACAGCCCAUAGCAUGUAGUCUAUCAUCUACAUUACUAUCUUGUAUCAAGAUUUAAAGUAGCCAAUGCCGAUUAAAUUGGACUCUCAAUUAAGUUAUGCUGUUGCCUUUGCUUAGAAGCAAUAGUUGCACGUUAAAUAUGUUUUAUCAAAUGCAAUUCAAUCCUGACAGUCAAAUGGGUAUGACUUUCUAUGAAUUUUCUUAAAGAUUUCAAUAGGGCAUUAGUGCAUCAACAGUUUUCCCUCUAUAUGAAUUUUUACAGAGCGAUACUUCUAAAUUGGCUAUUUGCUCAUGCACAGAGUUGCUUUUCCUUCUUACUAGACUAGCAUGUCAGAAUUCUCCAACAGGAAGCACAACAGACUUUAAUCUUGAUGCAAGGUGUCAUUUUAAUAAAAAAAACAAUGAAAGUAAUAAAUCAUUUUAAAGCCUGUUUAGUAAUGGAAGAUAUGACUCGAUGUUUUUGCUUUUAAUAGUGUUUUGAAUUAUUUUUUAUGAUGGGUAUUGAAAAGGCCUGUGGAAGCUCUAAAUAUGUAAUCUUAUUCUUCCUUCGCUUUCUAUUAUGAGUGUUAAAGAACAUGCAGCAUCUUUUGCAGGAUUCUCUUGAGAACAAAAGUUCUACCUGUAGAGACUUCCUUGGUCACCUGAAUGAAUCUGUGGCAGUUUUUGCUGAUCGAUUACCAAUUGAUGCAAGGGUAGCAUACUCAAAGAUGGCAGAGGAGAUCAGUGAAUUGCUUCUAUCUGAUAUUAGCGAGGGCUCCACACGUGAUGCUCAGUUAAGUUGCUUUGACACAGUGUUUAAUGCACCAGUUCUGGAAGACCUCCGCUCAAAUCAUCUGCAAGAUGCUGUGUCGCUCUUUACAUUAUAUCUUUCAGAGAUUGCCACUUAGUCUGUAUGCCUUCUGCUGUGGAUUACAAAUUCAUAAUUUACAGCAUUCAAAAGUACAGCACUUCUGUUGUAAACUUGCUCUUGUAACCACGUUUAAAUCUUUUUAUAGCCGAAACAGGCAUUGAUCGAGCUGUAUGAAAAAUUUUGACUCCAAAAGCAAGAGUGAAGUUGCGUGCCAUUGUGUCAUUUCUGAGGAACCCUUAAUUUUGU